CAUACACUGCCCCCUAACACACACACUGCACCCCUGACAUACACUGCUGCCCUCACGCACUCACACACACCUCACCGCUCACACACUACACCCCCCACACACACAUACUGCACCUUUCACACAUUGCACUCCUCACACAUACCACUGCUCAUAUGCCCUAUAUCCCAGCAGACCCCAGGUAAGUUGUCAAACUGUUCUUAAAUGGUUUGGCAAUUUACUCUGGGAUGGGGUUCUGGCACUACUGGC